UGGAAUUAUUUUCUUAAACUCGUAAAAAUGUGUGAAAAAGAAUUAAAAAAAUUCUAUAAUUUUGUGAAAGAUAUAAAUUAAAUUUUUAUUACAUACAGAUAUAAAAACUUAUGAGUUGGAAGAGAAACUUGCUCGGGUGUUGUCCCCUGGCAGUCACCUAUGAAAUGGUUGUCUGCACCUAUCAAGCGCAAAAGCAAUUCUUCGAAGCUGUUGGCGAAAAAAAAGUGCCCGAAAGAGCUCUGAAGUAGAAAAUAUUGAUUCUGAUUCUUCAGUUAAACAGGGAAAUAUAGUUAAACAGUAAUGUAUGAGCAGAUUAUGGACCACUUUGGAAAGAAAUUCAUCGCUGUUGGUGAUUAUAAUGCCAAAAACACCUGGUGGAGCUCAUCGCUCGCAAAUCCCAAGGCAAAACACUUUUGAAAUGUAUUUGGAAUAAAGACUUGACAUGUCAGCAGGCAAGCCAACUUAUUGGCCAUCUGACCUCACAAAAAUUCAAGACAUUCUUUAUUUUGCUAUUUCGAAAGGUCUUAACUCAAGACACAUACGCACUUCCAUCGGUUUGGACCUUCAAUCUAACCACAGCGCAGUUCAGCUAGAGGUUAAUACGUCGGUUCUCGCAAUGUACAAACCCACAAGUGUUCUUGUCAAAGGGACAAACAUUUUAUAAUUUCGUACAUGUCUAGAAAACAAUGAGAAAGACAAUAUCGCCAUUUUCUCUGAGUCAAAUAUUGGUUAUGCUUCGGAAGCUUUGACCAGAAGCAUACACAAUGCUGCCCACGUGUGUACGCCUGUUGCCAACUCCUCACAGAGCAACCACAAGCGGGACAGGCAUCUCUGGUCCAAUGAAGUAAUGACAAAGCUGAGAGAGAAGAGACGUCUUCGGCAUGCAUUGCAAGUCAGCAGAAAUCCAUAUAACAAAACUCAUCCGAACCGUGCUACGAAGGAGCUGAAGAAGAUUCUCUGGAAACUUACCAACAAGUACCUAGAGGAGUAUCUGGUUGCUGCCAAACCAGUAAAUCCAGAAAGCAAUCUUUCGAAUGCGAAGAGACAAAAGAAAAAGCCUACAACCAGAUGUCCAGCAAUUAUUAACAUCAGAGGUCUCUGCUGCUAAACUAAGAAGAAAAAGUCGAUGAGUUUGCCACAAAUCUUCAAAACACCUUUACCCCUAACAAGCUUAGCUUGCGAUGCUAGCAAUGCUGAAAUCAUCAAUUUUUUAGACGUUGCUUGUCAGAUGGAGCUACCAAUCGUUGAAAUAGAAAAUGUAGAGACUUCAUUAGUGCUAAUCCCGACUUAUUUGCCCUAAUGCGUGAGUUUUAUUGUUUGCCUACAAUAUAAGCCUGGCAGCAUCAGUUGAAGGUGAAAUUUCUAUUCAUUUUGUGAUGUAAAGUGUGUAUGAAAAUAAGGAUUAAACGUAUGACUGAAAUAGAAUGAGUGGAAGCGUUUCCUAAUGAUUUUAUAAGUAUAAGAUUCGUAUGUUUUACAUAUAUUUGGUGUCACUGUAGUAGGAGGAUUUUUAGGCAGUUAAAUGCUUGUAGAUAAAGCACAAUAUUCAUAUUUAGUUGUACAUAUUAAAAUGCCAUAACUAUUUUAUUAUAAUAUGUUUUUCAAAUAUAUUGAAGU